UCUACCUGUUGCCUGCUUCUCCACUUCCUGCAAGUCCUCAAGCUGGUAAGCAGAGUUGUUUAUCUGGCAUCUACAGAGCAGGCAGAUGAAGUUUUCAGAUGCACAAAUUCUUAGUGAUAGGUUCUAAUGCAUUGCAAGCAUCUAACCUUGAAGUUCAGCAGGCUUGGUAUGAUACCUUUCUAGAAACUACACAAGAACAGAGCAUUUCAUGAAACACUUUGACUAACCUGCAAGUGACAUUAUCCAGGAGCUAAUAACUGCACCUACAUGCAGUUCUGAUGGUUUUGAAGAUGCUGGAUACAGAAGUCACGCUGUAUGCUUUCAAAUGAAGACUGAAUCUUGGCUAAUUGGAGAACCUUGACAAAUCAGAGAAAGGACAGUGAUAAUUGUGUGUUAUGUUUCAAGUGUCCGUCAGCUUUUAUAAUUAUUAAGGAAUGUUUGUCAGUCAUGAACUUCAAACAGUGAAGUAGAUUAUACUCUACUUAGUGUGUUUACCACUUCAUACUCGUGUUUCAAAACAGCUGAAAUAGAUUCCACCUAGACAGAACUUUCUGUCCUGCAUAUUUUGUAUAUGUGCAUGUAGUUGAUACUGUCCUGCUUCCUGGUAUCUGCAGCUGCUAUCAUAAUUUUUUAAUGAGCUGUCAGAAUAAAUAAUUUUUUAAAAGCACCAAUAAUUUAAAUAGCAGUAUCUGAAGGUGUUAAUUCUUCUGUUCUCAUGCCUGCUGCAUAUGUGAGUGUCAAAUUAAUUUCUAUUCAGUUAUUUCAAAAUUUCUAUUAAAAAUAAUGCUGGUAUGCAUCUAGCAAGCUGAAACAAGCAAGGCACAAAACUUAGGAGCCUAAGUAGUAGCCUUUUGACCUAAAAAGUGCUUAUGAUGGGUGUAUGUAUACAAUCUGAGUACAGAAUUGCCUAUCUUGUCAACAUCAUGAUAUGCCAGAAGGUGUUUAUAAUUCAAAUCAAUAACAUACCCUUUCCUUAGAAAAAUCAUGUCACAUAAGAUUACACACUAUUAUGUACAGAACAAUUCAGUGCAUUGAGAUUCUCAUGCAUCUGUUUGGCUGCACUUACAUGGCAGGGAGACUGGCUACUUCUGCAGCUCCGGUCCUUGGCCAUCCAGACUGUGGAAAACAUUGGCCUACACUGCUGCUCUUUCCCUCUCUGAACAUUCAAAUUUCAUUUUAAAGGAAAGAAGGAUGUGUGAAGGCAUGGUGUGCAUACAGGUACCAUUCUGUUAUGGAGUCGUUUGUCAUAUAGCUGAGAUGCAGACAGUGAUCUGGCGGCUGUGAACACACUGAAGAAGACUUAAAAAUGAACUCAGACUUUUCUAAACACUUUUGAGCAACUAUCAGGCAUCUCAACAGUGUAUGACGGCCUUGUCUUCCUGUGCAGACUUGACUGAGUAAUGAACGACCCCUUAGUAAUAAGAAUUUACCUACAGGGUCCAUAGGAUUCCUAUAUUUAGCCAUAAACAACAGCAGUAAAGGAACAUACUGUAUUUUCCUUCUGCUCCAGUUAGUGCUAAGUGUUGUAAAAAUUAACAGAUACAGACCGUUAUAUUCCUUGCACCAAAAUCUUUGUGGAAUGUGACAUCACCAUGUGCCUUGUAACUGGUGAGACAUUUUUUUCCCUAUGUACUUCGUUUCUAAAUAAAGCAACAACAAUUUUGCCCUCC